rnacentral:rRNA from 1 species
AACACAUGCAAGUCGAGCGGAAAGGCUCCUUCGGGGGUACUCGAGCGGCGAACGGGUGAGUAACACGUGAGUAAUCUGCCCUUGGCUUCGGGAUAGCCACCGGAAACGGUGAUUAAUACCGGAUACGACACAUCACUGCAUGGUGCGUGUGUGGAAAGUUUUUUCGGCCAGGGAUGUGCUCGCGGCCUAUCAGCUUGUUGGUGGGGUAAUGGCCUACCAAGGCUUCGACGGGUAGCCGGCCUGAGAGGGUGACCGGCCACACUGGGACUGAGACACGGCCCAGACUCCUACGGGAGGCAGCAGUGGGGAAUAUUGGACAAUGGGCGGAAGCCUGAUCCAGCAACGCCGCGUGAGGGAUGACGGCCUUCGGGUUGUAAACCUCUUUCAGCACAGACGAAGCGCAAGUGACGGUAUGUGCAGAAGAAGGACCGGCCAACUACGUGCCAGCAGCCGCGGUAAUACGUAGGGUCCGAGCGUUGUCCGGAAUUAUUGGGCGUAAAGGGCUCGUAGGCGGUUUGUCGCGUCGGGAGUGAAAACACCGGGCUUAACUCGGUGCUUGCUUCCGAUACGGGCAGACUAGAGGCAUUCAGGGGAGAACGGAAUUCCUGGUGUAGCGGUGAAAUGCGCAGAUA